UUCAGAUCUUGACCACCGGGGGGGUGAAUAGCAGCAGAGAGCAGAGGGACUGAUCACUUAAAGAGAGGGUCCAGGCAGGAAAAACAUCUCCUGGAAACAUACCUGAAAUGAGCAUCUAAGAUUACAAAAAUUAAACUGAAGUUCCUCAUCAUUGAGGCCGAUGUGGAUCCUGCCAUUUAAAAUGCCCACGGUUGCAGCCAAGUCUAUUCUGUGGCCAGUGAGCAAAAAAGUGCUGUAUGUCCCGAGUCACUUAUCAGUUCUGACUUCAUCCUAAAAGAACAAGAUGGGAAAGGUGGUAACACACCAGCAUUUGGAAUCCUGAACCCUAUGCCUCUCUUGAAUACACCAAAAACCCAAUAAAAUCAAAAAGGGCUG